AUGCACCAUAAAAGUUUGGUGAAUAGGACAAGGAUGCAUGGCUGCUCAUCACAUGGAUAAAUGUGUGUGAAACCUCUCAAUCGUAAUCAAUGAACUUGUUGGUGGCACCAGGGAAAUAGUAAAUUUGAGCUAAUACAAAAGAUUUAGUCAAAAAUAUUGUAUUACUUUAAGUCCACCUCCAAAAGGAGAUUAACUGAAUCUCUAAAUAUAUACAUAUGAAUGUGAUUAAUCUGAAAUAUGCUGUGUUAACAGCUCAUGAUGUGUUCUAAACAAUGAUGUGCAGAUAGCAAUGACAGGUUGCAGAAUCUGGGAAGUAGUAACCAUCUAUCUACAUAUACUUACAAACAAACACACACAAAUGUUAUUAAUCUGAAGUAUGUUGUGUUAAUAGCUCAUGAUGUGUUCUCAAGAGUGAUGCACAGACAAAAAUGAGAGGUUGUUGAA
rnacentral:lncRNA from 1 species